CUGUCGGCGAGUCGGGAGGGUCCACGUGUAACGGGCUCGGGCCCAGCGGGGGCCGGGCAGACGCUGUUCUUCUGCCUGCCCUCCCGAAGGCGACACUCGACUCCAGCCUGGGUGGGGCCACCUGACCCCCAGGGCCCGGCAGGUUGCUAGGCAACCUCGGAAUACCCCAGGAAUGUAGUCCGGCGUGCGACGUGGGAUUCCGAAAACGGAUGGGGAGGAUGCCAACCGUGGCUUCCAGCUCCGCCUCCACCUCCUCCACUUUUAUAGGAGCCUCGGUUCCUCCGACUGCAAGGUGUGAGGAAAGUAAUAGGAAUCCUAACUCCUCUACUAAUGAAACAGCCAAAAGACGGCGGAGCCGGCCUUGGGUCCUGCAUUUGCAAGAUUGGCCUGCUUCCAGCCUCUGCUUUCUCCAUUCUGCAAGCCACGUUAUUUGCAAUACCUAAUCGCUCGUCUAGGAGUCCCACUAAGACUACAUGGGUAGCUCACUGCAAAUACCACCUUACCUGUGCAGUUCGUGAAAUCAGCUACUAUCUCGAUUGAAGACAAAGCACUUCAGAAUAACCAGACGCAUAAAUAAGGAAACGAAUAGAUAAGCCCCGCAAUAAUUCUGCUCUUACACCGUUCUUCCUAUACAAGACGGUAAUCCAGUGAAUAUCUGUUGACCAGAUGGCUUUGUCGAGGUAAAAUUGACAUCCAAGAAACCAUCAUCUGCUACCUGGACUAUGGCGACAGCUUCCUGACCACCCUGCCUGCCUCCAUUCUUGGCCCAUUCUACUCCAUACGUUUAUUUAAGUCAUUCAUAGGGGAGUGUUCUAUGACUUGUAGCUGAAGCCAUUCCCUAACAGGCAAAUAUUUGGCACCAGAAGUAGGACACCAAAAACAGACACUAAAAUGUGGAAUUGGCUAACUGAAGGUUAAGGUAGCCAGUGGUGGUGACUUUCUAUUCCAAAUUAGAAAGUUAGUGACCAGCUUGUUAAGCAGUAGUGAAACUGUUGAACUGCUGUCACUUGCUAGGCCUUGGAUGCAAACCACAUGCCAACCAAGGCUGUAUUGUAGGAGAAAUCUCAGGAACAAUAGAGAACAUUAGUGAGUGUUGGAUUUUUUUUUUUUCCAGUGGCUUUAGCAAAGUCUUUCAAGAGAGUGGCAAAUCUAGAUUAGACAUAACUGGUUUGAAAGCAGAGAUUAAAGAAAAUAAGGCCUUGGUAAGAGAGAAAGUCCUUACCUGCAGCUGAUAACCUAAAUUGGUCAAGUCCCUCAACUUGAAGCCUUGCCAAGUUGAAAUAAACAAUUUUCUUUGUAUACCCAAGCUGAAGCCAGUGCAGGUGGAGAAGGGAAAGAGGCAGCUUUAUCAGGAGAUAAAAGUGAGGCCCAAAGUAGAAAAGAUGGACUACAGGUGGCAUCUCCACCUGCAGGUGUUGUUUUGAACAGCCUCAACUGCAACUAAGCACACAGAGACAAGCCCCUAGAAGAUUUAAACAUUCUAAUACUUAUUUUUGCUUGUUUUGCAAAAAGAAACAUGAAGUAUACACAAGAAACUAAUAAAAGAGAACAGAGGUGAUAAUAAGACCUCAAUUUACA